CGUGCGCUGGCCUCCCGCACCCGUGCCCCCCCGGAACACGAACGCCGGCUCUUUUCCCUGGGAAAGAAAACUCAGCAGCCCAGUUCAGUGCAGUGGGAGAGCAGCCUGGGUUUCUGCAGCUAGCCCUGCCAGGAAAGCAUCCUGUCAUCCCACCAGCUGGGAAGAACAUUUAAAACAUUGCUGCAUGCAAAACAACUGAUCUUGUCGCAAGUACAUCAGUCCAAGAAGAUCCAGGAUUCAGUUUCCUCUGCAGUUAAGAGACUCUACACAGUCUUCUUGAAAAUCCAAGUUCAUAUCUGGAUAUAACUCUUAGCCAAGGGUGGCCAGACUGUCAAGGUGGUCAAAUGCAGUUCCCAUAACAAGGUGACACCACCUGAGCAGCGAGAGGGCCCUGCUGGCAUGGGGGCAAAGGACAGCCCAAAUCCCCAGCCCUCGAGGAGCUGGGCUCCCAGGGACUGCUGGAGGUGACACCCCCGAGCUGCUGUGGGUCCCUGCUGCAUUCCCAGGCCAGCCUCACCUCAAAGGGGGCUCCUGGGGAAACAGUCACCUCCUGUCUGGGGGCUGCUCCCAACCCUCCUGCAUUAAAGGGAGACUGGUGAAUAUUUAGUGUCACCUUCAUCCUUUGAAGCUUUUUCUAUGGGGGAGAGUCUGAAAGGUCAAUAUCCUUACAUUAGACUAUUAUGUGCCAUGCCAAGGUAAGGGAGUUAAACAAGUGGUUUCAUGAGCAGCAGAAGUCAUGAACCCUGCUUUCCUGCAGAUUUGGGGAGGGUUUUCUUCUCCUCCUUGCCUCCUUCAGCUGUAGGACCCCAGCACAGGAUGAUUACCCAAGACUGGGUUCUUUCCCUAGGUGGGGCAACUACUAGAAUAUUUUACUCAGAACUUCCAGCCACCUGCCCUAUUCAAACUUGGCUGAGACAGCCACCAAGCUUAAAAAUUAUUGCAGAAUUCUGACAGAAAAGGCAUGUGCAUAAGCUCCAGUUCUUCAGGAAAUCAAGCUAUCUCUGUCCUUCACUUCCCCCAUCAUCCCAAAGACAGCUGGUGCAGUAGCUCUGGAAAUAAAAAAACUUGGAGCUUUUGCCCUCCACUGGCAGGGUUCUCACUCUGUCAGAGAAAUGAAAACAACAACACAAAGUCAUUCCUUGCUGCAAAACUCAGCAGGAUGCCUUUCCAGCUUGCACACAAAGAUGUCUUUGCCCAAACAGGAACACAGGACUCAAAGCAACAAACUGGAUUAUCCAUCCAUUACAUUUGUGAAAAAAUGGAGAAUUCAAAGGAGGAUCUGCCCAGCCCCAUUUCCUCAACUCCAUGACAAUAUUUAAGUUACUGGCAGGAUAAUUUAACGUGAAGGCUUAAACGUCAAGCCAAAUAUUCUACCUUCUGCUGCUCAGCUGGACUUCAGCAAACUGUUGUGCAGUAGAUUCUACCUCGCCCAACUUUAUGGCUGUCCAAAGCAGCCUCCUCUGUCUCUGCAGUGCUCUUGUGUGACCUCCUGUGCCCACCAGGGUUUGCUCUGUUUGCUCUCUGCAGGCACAGGUGUUAUCCCAGAGCUGGCACACCCCAUCAGUCCCAGGAAGGCACCUCUGUGCCCUUGCACUGCACGCAGAUGAAUCACAAACACUCUGUGUGCUGCUCACAUGAUAGCCUGUCGCUGGAGAAGCCCAGAGCACUGGGCUUCAUCAAUUGCUUGACCUAAUUAACGCUGCAGAAAAAGAGGGGAUGGUAUUUUGAUUCCUCCUGACCUAGAAGGAAACCACAUAAACACUGCAUCUGGGAAGCAAAAAUGAACAAACCUAUCUCACCUCCCCAAAACCAGACAAAUGUUUCCUGUAUUAAAUGAUUUAGUGAGUGGGUUAAUUCAGGACUUGACCUACAUGAUUUAUUUCCCAUGUAUGUGUUUGAAUCAG